rnacentral:lncRNA from 1 species
CACCACGUUCCCUCCCCUUCUCAGUGUCCCCAAGUCUGUAACUGGCCACUUUCCUGCAUGUUCCAGAGAAAAAAUAUUACAAAGUCAAACCCAGAAGGUUUACACACCAGAAGAUUUACAGCCCAUUGAAUUUAGAAGGCAAAGAUCUGGGAUUAGGGCAAGUUAUCCACAAGAUAGUCAUUCAGCCAGCAAAAUACUUUUUAAUGUCAACUGUAUACUGGAUAUCGCACUAGAUGCUGCAAUGACAAGUUCAUUUUAAAUCCAGCUAAUACACAAUUUGAAGUCGGAACACCAAUACAAUAUGUUAAACCUCACAAAGAAAACUUCAAAAGUAGAACUCAGAGGAUUUCAUUAUUAUGAAAAAAUGCUGUACCGGGAGAACCCUGAGGUCACAGGCCCAGGCCCGCCGUUCCCUGGCAAAGUCACCUUGAGCAAAAUAUUUAGCUUCUCUGGGUACAUGCUCUUUCCUCUUAGAAAUAAAGAAAUAUCAAAAUGAAAAACAAAACAAAAAAAGAAAAAAAUUGAAAAAAGGGGAAACAAAAAGAAAGAAAAAUAAAUAAAUACCAGUAUUUGAUAAUACAGCAGGGAAACGACAGUUAACAAAACUUUAUUGUCUAUUUCAAAAUAGCUACAAGAACUGCAAUGUUCCCAAGGCAAAGAUACAUGUUUGAGGUGACGGUAUGCAAAUUACUCAGAUUAAUCAUCACAUAUUGUAUACAUGUGUCAAAAUAGCACAUGUACCCCAAAAUAUGUACAACUAUGAUACAUCAUUUAAAAAUGCAAAAAAUGAAGAAAUACAGAUACUUUCUAAAGUGCCUCUCCUCUUUUAAGACUGAGCCUUCAUAGAGAAAUGUGUUUUAACAUCCCCCAAAUCACAACAGAACUUUCGAGCAUUGGCAGCCAAUAUGCAGACUUGAAUUUCUUCUUAUCACAGUUCCCAAACGUGUUACCCUGUACAGACUAAGAGGCUAGAAAGACAUGAAGUGAGUGACAGGAAGCCAAAAGUGUCAUAAAAAGCCUUGGUGCCAAUUCCUAAUUCCACUUCCAAAUAAAAUUGUGAUUUUCUGUAGUGAUACUUUUUAAACUUGGCUGGAUAUUUUUAGGACCUUAAUCCAUGGAAUAGUAUUAAUAUUGACAGCUGCAUUAACCAUCUCACACAUUUGAAUACAUUGCAAGCCUCAAAAAAGGUCAGCACAGCCGGCUCAUCUCUUUCACUGAUGUAAAUCUGUAGGACCGCCCAGAAGGCGUCUGCUCUAGAUCUGAACAACGGAGUCCACGUUUACCAAGAGGCCCUGCACCAAGCCAUGAAAUUGGAUUGGAAUCAUGCAGCAAUAAGAAGAGGAAGGCACCUGCCACAAUGUGCUCUCUUCACUGUUAGGUUGGGAUGGAGAAUACUGAAUACAUGACAACGUAAAAGUUGGGCAAAUGCUACUUUGAAAAUAAGAGUGAAUAAAUGAGGAGAAAUAGGCUUACAUAAAAAACAGGACCAAAAGUUCAUGGACAGUGAAGGAAGGCACUGGUCUGUUUAAUAACAACAGAUGUCUACAAGCUAACGAAGUAAAUUUGUUUUUUGUUUCAAAUAUUUUUGUUCACAGAAGUGAAACACUUUGCACAUACCUGGAAGAAAACCAGGUGGUAUUGGUGUUAUCACCAGGUGAGGGGCUAAAGUUUAUUCAGCAACAGUGAGGUCACCAAGGAUCUCCAAAAGUUCUGCCUCGUUAUGCAUGGUUGGCCUUCUGUUUCUGAGUUCCACACGGACCAAUCUGACCAACUGUGUAUCAAAAAUAUUUAAAAUCAGAAUCAUGCCUGUAAUUCCAGCAUUUUGGGAAGCUGAGGUGGGAGGAUGGCUUGAGGUCAGUUUGAGACCAGCCUGGGCCACAUAGCAAGACCAUGUGUCUACAAAAAAAAAAAAAAAAAAAAAUUAAAACAUUAGCUGGGUGUGGUGGUGCAGGCCUGUAGUCCUAGCUACUUGGGAGGCUUAGGUGGGAGGAUUCCUGGAGCCCAGGCACUUGAGGCUGCAAUGAGCCGUGAUUGUACCAGUGCACUCUACACUCCAGCCUGCGGUAUAGAGAGACACUCACUCUCUAAAAAAAGAAGAAAGAAACAAUAAAAAGAGAAUUUUUAAAAAAGAAAAAAUAUUAGGAAAAAAUAAAAAAUAAUACAAAUAAGAGAUACAUUAUUACAACUACUUAGCACUUACAUUGUAUUAGGUUAUUGCAAGUAAUCUAGAGAUGAUUUAAAAUAAUGGGAGAAUGUACACAGGUUAUAUGCAAAUACUAUGCCCUUUUGUAUCACAGAGUUGUGCAUCCAUGAAUUUUAGUACAGGGGUGUGGGGGUAGAGUGGGUCCUGGAACCAAUCCCCUUUGGAUGCAAAGGAGUGACUGGGUGCAAUUGUUUACUUACUUAUAUAUACACAAUACAGAAACAUAGGAAGGUAGAUUUACAGGCCUCUGUGAGCCCAAAGGUAGCUAGCACUGUCCCAGAGACUAGGAUGGAUGGAAACCUGUGUAAUGAAGAGACGGUGGGCCUUUCAGUAUUUUGUUUGUUUGUUUGUUUGUUUUUAGACACAGUUUCACUCUCUUGCCUAGGCUGGAGUGCAGUGGCGCAAUCUCAGCUCACUGCAAUCUCCACCUUCCAAGCGAUUCUCCUGCCUCAGCCUCCCGAGUAGCUAGAAUUACAGGUGCAUGCUACCACGCCCGGCCAAUAUUUUCUAUUAUUAGUAGAGAUGGGGUUUCACCAUGUUGAUCAGGCUAGCCUCGAACUCCCGACCUCAGGUGAUCCACCUGCCUUGGCCUCCCAAAGUGCUGGGAUUACAGGCAUGAGCCACCUCACCCAGCCCACUUUUCGGUUUUAUAUAAAUAUGUGUAAGAGCAGGCUUAUGUGACCACUGCCGAAGUCCUGCAAAUCUGUUGCUUCUCCAUGGGGUGAGUCAGGCCAGGCCUGUGUAGAUAAUGAACAGCAUGGCUCUCUACCCACCAUACUGCACCUCUUCUAGUAACUGACCUUGUCAAACAGGACUACACCUCCUGUGAGAGGUAGGGGUGCACUCUCGCGACUCAGGGAGGGGCCUUCUGGACUGCCAGCUGCUCAGGCUGUCCCUCCCACCCUGAGGACUGACUCCUCCCAGAGUAGGGAGUUGAACCUGGAGUCCACGUGGCUAUCGGCUCACAGCUCAUGCCUCCAAAUGUCACUCUCUUAAGAUUCCAGUUAACCUGAUUGCAUUCCAUUAAAAUGCAGACCACCUAUUAGAAAGCAUUAAGGGAUUUUGGUAAUUUAUUUAAAACUAUGUAGCUCUUCACAACAAAUAUACCAGAAAUUGCUAAAAUGUCUGUCACUGGAUAAUGUCUGUUUAUGAAAGGAAAAGUCUCCUUUUACAGCAAUUCCAACCAAACAACAAGCCUGAGGCUUUCUAGAUUAAAGGGACAGAAACCAGGAAGAUCUGCCCACUUCCUCACUCUUCUUGACCUCAUCCCCAUCACACAGGCCACAUGCCCAGAAAGUCAUAUACUCCUGUAGAACUUUAUAGUCCCUUGGGAUGUAUGUCUUCCGUGACUUGAACAGUAUUUCAUUUAAAAUAGCACUUUUGGCCAGGUGGUGGCUCAUGUCUGUAAUCCCAGCACUUAGAGAGAUCGAGGUGGGUGGAUUGCUUAAGCCCAGGAGUUUGAGACCAGCCUGGACAACAUGGUGAAAUCCCAUCUUUACUAAAAAUGCAAGAAUUAGCUGGGUGUGGUGGUGUGUGCCUGUAGUCCCAGCUGCUCAGGAGGCUGAGGUGAGAGCCCAGUAGGCGGAGGUUGCAGUGAGCCAAGAUCGUGCCACUGCACUCCAGCCUGGGCAACAGAGCAAGAGCCUGUCUCAGAAAGUAAAUAAGUAAACAAAUUAGAAGACUGUUCUCUUUUUUAGCAGCUGUAUAAUAAGGACCUUCAGCCUGUCCAAAGACAUGGGAAAAUUAAACUGUUAACAAUGCUUCAAAACCCAUUUGUUAAGCUUUGUCCCACUGAUCACUUUCAUACUGACCAUCACUAUAUGCAUAAAGAUGUAUUUAAUACUCUCCUGACAUUUUAAGUGGAUGAGUAAUUCUACUAUGGAAGUGACUACUCACUUAAAAAGAAAAAUUGAAAACUCAGGAGGCUUUGCCAUUGUUAAUGAGCUGCUUUAAUUAGAAAGGAUGCAUUUAAUUAUUAGUUCAUUGGUGGAGAAAAGCUAAAAACAAUCUAAUUGAAGAGGGUCUGAGUUGGUCAAAUGGUAACUGGAGAAUGUCAUCCUUUUUAAUGUCAACUUUAACCCAAGAAAAAUCUCUGGGGUAAACAAAUCAUCGUUGUCACCAUCCCUGCCAUUUCGUUAUGGUCUGGUGAGGUUCAGUCUUUGUAGGGGAGCUAUAGGAUGUAGUAGUAGUUCAGAAAAGGAUUUUUCUAGACCUAUAGUCCCAAAGUCAAGUCUCAGCUGUGCCACUGUCUAGUCCUAUGAAAUACAUUUGUUCCUAAAACCUUUCAUGACUUUUUACCUAUGCCUUUGUUCAACCCACUGGUAUUUAACUUAACUGAUCAAAGAUUUCUGAACAUUGUGCAUAUCUUUGGAUGAUCAUUUCAGAAAGAGAACAAAUUCAGGAGAUGACUUACCCAGGAUCCUAAAGAUAUGUCUUGUUUGGACAUGAAACUUGUAAAACAUUUCUGCUUCUCAAUUUGAAUUUUGUGUACUGUUAAAAAAAUACCUAGGAUGUCAUUACCUAUCCUUCCCACACCUUGGGAGUAUUCACCGUCGGUGUCUGUAAGGAAGGUGAGUACUAGAGUACUACCUAGCCCUAAAAUGCUUUUGGAUUAUAAUCUCAUAAUGUAAACAUGGAAAGGAACACUGUAAAAUGGAAGCAAGGUAGUAAGAAUGUGGUAAAGCCGAUUUUUUUGCUCCUCUGGGAAAACAAGGCCUGCAGACUUCCCCACUGCACCCAGCUCCUCAACAAACCCUACGAAGCUCAGGUCCCAUCUUGAACAGGAUGGUUCCCCUAACCCUAUGCGCUAGAAAUGAGGGUGCUCUGUGAGUUCCCACAGCAUCCAGUUCUUACUCUCAUACAUUGGAUGGUAUUCAUGCUUGCCAUCUCCUGUAUUAAUCAAAGAAGUCCCAGGCUAAAUAAAUGGGCACUGAACUAAAAAUUUAGACCAAUUUAAAUAAAUGCUGUGCCACAUGGCUAAACAAUAGAAAUAGCUGUAUUAUCAUGGAAAUCUUUCCAACACAUGCUUUUAUGUCUAUCUAAAUAGUCUAUAAGUAACACAUUUUUUAUUGGUAACAUAGGAGCUAAUUAUGACAAAGUAUUACAGAACAGCAAUGUCUAGCUUGUAAACAACACAUCUUUAUUGAUAACAUAGGGGUUAUCAAUAAAGACGACAAAGUAUUAUACAGUAGCAAUGCUUUCCGGGGUUAACAAAGUGUCUGCAUCCACACUAAAUGGCACAUGGUUGUAUCUGUUUGGAGUAUUUCUUCCCCCCGCCCACACCCUGAGCACAGAGACAAGGUCUCACUCUGUCACCGAGGCUGGAGUGCAGUAGCUACUGAGUAGCUGGGACCAGAGGUAUGGGUCACCAUGCCAGGCUACUGUUUUUUUCACUUUCUGUAGAGAUGGGGGGGGUCUUACUAUGUUGCCCAGGCUGGUCUUGAACUCCUGGGCUCAAGUGAUCCUUCUACCUUGGUCUCCCAAAGUGCUCGGAUUAUAGGUGUACAUCACCAUGCCUGGCCAUGGAGUGCUUCUUUUUUUUUUUUUCUUUUUGAGACAGAGUCUUGCUCUGUCACCCAGGCUGGGGUGCGGUGGCACUAUCUUGGCUCACUACUACUUCCGCCUCCCAGGUUCAAGUGGUUCUCCUGCCUCAGCCUCCCGAGUAGCUGGAACUACAGGUGCCCGCCACCACACCCGGCUGAUUUUUGUAUAUUUAGUAGAGAUGGGGUUUUGCCAUGUUGCCCAGGCUGGUCUUGAACUACUGAGCUCAUGCAAUCUGCCUGCCUCAGUCUCCCCACAUGCUGGGAUUACAGGCGUGAGUUGCUGUGCCCCAGCCUGCCCCACCUUGCUGUCGGCUGCCACUUCUCACUCUCAUUGUGCCUGUCUCCACAAGCUCCUCCACUUUCUAAUUUCCUGCUUGUAGUCUACCUUGGGCUUAAAAAAAAAAAAAAUCAGACAACUAAGCCUUUUGGGAUCCUAUCAAAAAUAUGAAGAAAAAGACUUUCGGGUCAUCAGACAGGUCAGCUUUGGACUAAUGAGUUUGGUGACAUCCUGUACUGACAGCUCACAGGCCACCUUGGUUCUGGACGGGGAUCCGGAUGCUGGGGAAGGCUGGCCACACCAUGUCUUCUGGCUAAGCCCUUGAGUAGUUGGCCUUCUGAUUGCCAGCCUUCUGCUUUUUAGCCAAAUCUCCCUGCCACCAUCUCUAUGCUCUGUGUUCACUGUGAUGCUAGCUCUGUUUCUUUCCAACUGAGCUCCUCAAUAGCUUGGAUUUUGUAGUUCCCUCCAGAGUCUCCGAAUCCACACCUGCUUAAUACCUACAAAAACCAAUUCAGCCAUAUGGCUUGAAUGCUUAUAUCACACACAGAGGCUUUUGGUUCUGAGUAAGUGCCACGAUUAUGAAAACUGCACUGAAGCAGGGAAUAACACCAGUUGAAAGAAUGGCCUCAUUUGCAGGCAGCUUGCACUGUAUUCUAUAAGAAUGUGUUUGACAUUUUAAGCUUUCCUGUGGCAGCAAAUUGUACUUCUUCUAGUGGGAGGGGUUAUUAAGUCUGUGACCAGAAUAAACCAGACUAUUUUGGAAAGUUUAAUUUUUUCGGUUUUCAUAUUCCAUUUUAUGACUGUGUUUGCUUUUUCAGAGAUAAGCCUGUGUGUAAGAAAACAGUCUUAUCUCUGAACCAAGCACAUGGCUCACACCUGUAAUCCCAGCACUUUGGGAGGCCGAACUGGGAGGAUCAUUUGAGGCCAGGAGUUUGAGACCAGCCUAGGCAUCGUAGUGACACCCCAUCUUUACAAACAAAACAAACAAACAAACAAACAAAAAACAUUAGCCUGGUGUGGUGGCAUGCUUAUAGUCCAAGUUACUCAGGAGGAUAAGGAGGGAAGAUCGCUUGAGCCCGGGAGUUUGAGGCUACAAUGAGCUGUGACUGUGCCACUGCACUCCAGCCUGAGUGACAGAGAGAGACCCCGUCUCAAAAACAAACGAACAAGCAAAAACAAACAAAAAGCAAUUAUUUAGAGUUAAAAACUACAAAUACUAUUUUUUAACCUCAAGGAGUUCUAUCAUAAACUGCUUUAAAAGUAAAAAACAAAUUAAACAGGAAUACGGAACUCUGGCUCCAAAUUUAAAAUUACAAAAUAAAUAAGACAAAGCAUUCGACAUGAAGUUCCUGCGGCAGGAUGGAAAUGUUCUGGUGAGUGGCUAUCACACAUUUCACAGAAGCUAGGAGGCCAUCUAUUUUGUAAAAUACACAACUAUUUUACUUAUUGCCAAGAAAGAUGAGGAUGUGUUAUCAACUGUAGGAUGUACCCCAUGUCAAUGAUGUUGAAAUGUAAAAUAAUGUUUUUCAAAAAGAUGCAAUACAAUAUUUUUGAAAAAUAGCUUUAAAAUAACAAAACUAAUGUCACAAUAAUGACACGAGUCUUUUUGAGUUUCCUUAGAAAAGCCAAUAUUCUACCUUGAUCAUAAAACCUCUGUUUUAGGGCAUCCUAAAUUGUUAGAAAAUGAGAAGUUACACAGUUCAUGUACGAGAAGAUCAGAGUCAAAAACAAGUGAAUGGUUUACAAAACCAAAGCUGAUGCGAUUGGUGUCAUUUAUAAAUAUUUGGGAAUCAACCAGUAUGGAAACAAUAUCACUAGUUUCUUGAGGAGCAAGGACUAGAACCCAUAUGGGCUGAUUCCACAUGUCCACAGAUCUAUCAUGCCACGCUGCAGCCUAGUUUAAAUAAACAGAAAACAGGAGCUACUCAGGCACAGCUUAAAUGAAAGUAGCCAUUGCACAAGGUUUUAAAAAACUUGUAUACAUUUUUGUUUUGUUUGAGACAGGGUCUUCUUCUGCUGCGCAGGCUGGAGUGCAGUGGUGCAAUCACGGCUCAUCAUAGCAUUGACCUCCAAGGCUCAAGCAAUCCUCUCUGCUCAAGCCUCCCGAGUAGCUAGAACUACAGGCACACUCCACCACCGCCAGGCUAAUUUUUGUUUUUGUAGAGACGGGGUUUCACCAUGUUGCCCAGGCUGGCCUUGAAUUCCUGGGCUCAAGCGAUCUGCCUAGCUCUGCCUCCCAAAACACUAGGAUUACAGGCAUGAGCCACUGUGUCCUGUCAGUAUACAUGUGUUUUUCUGUUUUGUUUUGUUUUUGUGACAAAGUCUCACUCUGUCUCCCAGGCUGGAGUGCAGUGGUGCAAUCUUGGCUCACUGCAACCUCUACCUCCCAGGUUCAAGCAAUUCUCCUGCCUCAGCCUCCUGAGUAGCGGGGAUUACAGACGCAUGCCACCACACCAGGCUAAUUUUUGAAUUUUUAAAGUAGAGACGGUGUUUCACUAUAUUGGCCAGCUGGUCUCAAACUCCUGACCUCAUGAAUCGCCCACCUUGGCCUCCCAAAGUGCUGGGAUUACAGGAGUGAGCCACCAUGCCCAGCUGCCAGUAUACAUGGUUUAGUGAUUACUAUUUACCUGUAAUAAAAAGCUCCAUGUAAAAAUAUAACAUAAUUUUUCCUCCAUUUUUUAGUUAUUCAAUUAUUCUUGAAUUUCCUGCUUUAAUGGAUAAAUCAUAAUACUCAGCGGACUGGGAAGAAAUCAAACCCCCAAAUCAUGUGGCUACAAGUUUUUAACUUGACAAUUAAGUUGACAAGCCCUACCUCGUCUAUAGCACAAACACACAGCCACAGCGUGAAGUCAGUCAGCUGUUAGCUGUGCCAGUGGUAGGAUUUCUAGUAGGUUCUGCUUUUCAAAGACUCACUUUCAUUCUAAAGUGGUAUGCUACACAUAAAACCAUCAAUCUGGCCAGGCGCAGUGGCUCAUGCCUAUAAUCUCAGUACUUUGGGAGGGCGAGGUGGGAAGAUCACUUGAGCUCAGGAGUUCCAGACCAGCCUGGACAACAUAGCGAGACCCCGUCUCUACAAAAAAUAUAAAAAUUAGCUGGGUGUAGUGGCACACACCUGUAGUCCCAGCUACUUGGGGGGCUGAGGUACGAGGAUCGCUUGAACCCAGGAGGCAGAGGUUGCAGUGAGCCAAGAUCACACCACUGCACUCCAGCCUGGGUGAUAGAGGGGAACCCUAUCAAAAACAAAAAACAAAAAACAAACGAAAAAAAAAAUUUAAGCCAGAACACAUCAUCUUAAGGAGAACGAAAAUCUUCUGUAUGCACAUACUGCCAACACAUUUUAAAAGGCCCACAUUUUAACAAGUAGACAAACUAUCAGACAAGAGAUCAUAAAUUAUUUUGGCUGACAAAAAUCGUUAAAAUUAUCUAACUCAACAUUCUGCAUGUAGGUUUCUACACAUAAUGUAUAUGUAUGGGUGUGUCUACACAGCCUUUUGAAGGGAAUGGCAUAUGAUGAAGCCCAUUUUUCCAUAGUUAUGAUGGUGUCCUAGCAAAGCAAGAAUAUCAAGGUCUGCAUUUCUGCCAACUCAAUGCAUAGCCCCAAGAGCUUCCUGCAGAGGAAAGCUAGCAUGGAGAAUCCAGUCCAUGUCUGUAGGACAAAACAUUAAUGGUAGAAGGUUGGAGAAACUUGUGGAUGGUUGGCAUUGCAGCUUCAGGGCUGGCAUUCUCUGUGGUUUCAGGUGUGUCUGUUAAUGGAUUCUGUGGUCUCUGAUCCAAGUCUUUAACCAAUAUGAA